rnacentral:rRNA from 1 species
CGUAGGUGGCAAGCGUUGUCCGGAUUUAUUGGGCUUAAAGGGUGCGUAGGUGGCCCUGUAAGUCAGUGGUGAAAUAUCUCAGCUUAACUGAGAGGGUGCCAUUGAUACUGCAGGGCUUGAGUACAGAUGAGGUAGGCGGAAUUGACGGUGUAGCGGUGAAAUGCAUAGAUAUCGUCAAGAACACCGAUAGCGAAGGCAGCUUACCAAGCUGUAACUGACACUGAGGCACGAAAGUGUGGGGAUCAAACAGGAUUAGAUACCCUGGUAGUCCACACUGUAAACGUUGAUGACUCGAUGUUGGCGAUACACAGCCAGCGUCCAAGAGCAAUCGUUAAGUCAUCCACCUGGGGAGUACGCCGGCAACGGUG